CACGAUAUUAAAUUAAUUUUUGAUAAGGGGAGGAUCCAUCACAAUAGCUUGCUAUUGGGGUCUUCACGAGUCGCCCAUGCUUUGCACUACUGCAAGGUCCUGGCUCACCCCAC